rnacentral:rRNA from 1 species
GACGAACGCUGGCGGCGCGCUUAACACAUGCAAGUCGAGCGAUGAAACUUUAACUGACCCCUUCGGGGCGAAGAUAAAGUGGAUUAGCGGCGGACGGGUGAGUAACACGUGAGUACCUGCCUUAGACAUUGGGAUAGCCUCGGGAAACCGGGAUUAAUACCAAAUAAAAUCAUAAUGACACAUGUCAUAACGAUCAAAACUCCGGUGGUCUAAGAUGGACUCGCGUCCCAUUAGCUAGUUGGUAGAGUAAAAGCCUACCAAGGCGACGAUGGGUAGCCGGCCUGAGAGGGUGAACGGCCACAUUGGAACUGAGAAACGGUCCAAACUCCUACGGGAGGCAGCAGUGGGGAAUAUUGCACAAUGGAGGGAACUCUGAUGCAGCGACGCCGCGUGAACGAAGAAGGCUUUCGAGUCGUAAAGUUCUUUUAUAUGGGAAGAUAAUGACGGUACCAUAAGAAAAAGCCCCGGCUAACUACGUG